UUGGUGAGCUAAAAAAAAUAUGAAGUUUUUGAGCUAAAACUUCAUAUUUUUUGAAGUUUUGAGCUCAAAAACUUCAUAUUUUUUUUAGCUCACCA